rnacentral:rRNA from 1 species
AUGAACGCUGGCGGCGUGCCCAACACAUGCCAGUCGCGCGGCAGCGAGGGGUGCUUGCACCCUGUCGGCGAGCGGCGGACGGCUGAGUAACGCGUGGGAACGUGCCCCAAAGUGAGGAAUAACUGCCCGAAAGGGUAGCUAAUACCGCAUAUUAUCUUCGGAUCAAAGGAUUUAUCCGCUUUGGGAGCGGCUCGCGUCGGAUUAGGUAGUUGGUGAGGUAAUGGCUCUCCAAGCCGACGAUCCGUAGCUGGUCUGAGAGGAUGACCAGCCAGACUGGAACUGAGACACGGUCCAGACUCCUACGGGAGGCAGCAGUGAGGAAUCUUCCACAAUGGGCGAAAGCCUGAUGGAGCAACGCCGCGUGCAGGACGAAGGCCUUCGGGUUGUAAACUGCUUUUAUAAGUGAGGAAUAUGACGGUAACUUAUGAAUAAGGAUCGGCUAACUACGUG